UACGUAUGGUGCAAGCGUUAUCCGGAUUACUGGGUGUAAAGGGAGCGUAGGUGGUCUGGCAAGCCAGAAGUGAAAACCCGGGGCUCAACUCCGCGGAUUGCUUUCGGAACUGUUGGACUAGAGUGCAGGAGGGGUAAGCGGAAUUCCCAGUGUAGCGGUGAAAUGCAUAGAUAUUGGGAAGAACACCGGUGGCGAAGGCGGCUUACUGGACUGUAACUGACACUGAGGCUUGAAAGCGUGGGGAGCAAAC
rnacentral:rRNA from 1 species